rnacentral:rRNA from 1 species
AACGAACGCUGGCGGCGUGCCUAACACAUGCAAGUCGAGCGCGAAUGGAGCAAUCCUAGUAGCGCGGCGCACGGGUGCGUAACACGUGGGUAAUCUGCCUGGGAGACCGGAAUAACCUGCCGAAAGGCUGGCUAAUACCGGAUAAGCCCACGGACUCUUCGGAGUCUGAGGGAAAAGGUGGCCUCUGUAUACAAGCUAUCACUUCCAGAUGAGCCCGCGGCCCAUCAGCUCGUUGCGGGGUAAUGGCCCACCAAGGCAACGACGGGUAGCUGGUCUGAGAGGACGAUCAGCCACACUGGAACUGAGACACGGUCCAGACUCCUACGGGAGGCAGCAGUGGGGAAUUUUGCACAAUGGGCGAAAGCCUGAUGCAGCAACGCCGCGUGUGUGAUGAAGGUCUUCGGAUCGUAAAGCACUUUCGACC